rnacentral:rRNA from 1 species
UAUAAUGGGUCAGCGACUUAUAUUCUGUAGCAAGGUUAACCGCAUAGGGGAGCCGAAGGGAAACCGAGUCUUAACCGGGCGUUAAGUUGCAGGGUAUAGACCCGAAACCCGGUGAUCUAGCCAUGGGCAGGUUGAAGGUUGGGUAACACUAACUGGAGGACCGAACCGACUAAUGUUGAAAAAUUAGCGGAUGACCUGUGGCUGGGGGUGAAAGGCCAAUCAAACCGGGAGAUAGCUGGUUCUCCCCGAAAGCUAUUUAGGUAGCGCCUCGUGAACUCAUCUCCGGGGGUAGAGCACUGUUUCGGCUAGGGGGCCAUCCCGGCUUACCAACCCGAUGCAAACUGCGAAUACCGGAGAAUGUUAUCACGGGAGACACACGGCGGGUGCUAACGUCCGUCGUGAAGAGGGAAACAACCCAGACCGCCAGCUAAGGUCCCAAAGUCAUGGUUAAGUGGGAAACGAUGUGGGAAGGCCCAGACAGCCAGGAUGUUGGCUUAGAAGCAGCCAUCAUUUAAAGAAAGCGUAAUAGCUCACUGGUCGAGUCGGCCUGCGCGGAAGAUGUAACGGGGCUAAACCAUGCACCGAAGCUGCGGCAGCGACACUUUAGUGUUGUUGGGUAGGGGAGCGUUCUGUAAGCCGUUGAAGGUGUCCUGUGAGGGGUGCUGGAGGUAUCAGAAGUGCGAAUGCUGACAUAAGUAACGAUAAAGCGGGUGAAAAGCCCGCUCGCCGGAAGACCAAGGGUUCCUGUCCAACGUUAAUCGGGGCAGGGUGAGUCGACCCCUAAGGCGAGGCCGAAAGGCGUAGUCGAUGGGAAACGGGUUAAUAUUCCCGUACUUGGUGUUACUGCGAAGGGGGGACGGAGAAGGCUAUGUUGGCCGGGCGACGGUAGUCCCGGUUUAAGCGUGUAGGCUGGUUUUCCAGGCAAAUCCGGAAAAUCAAGGCUGAGGCGUGAUGACGAGGCACCACGGUGCUGAAGCAACAAAUGCCCUGCUUCCAGGAAAAGCCUCUAAGCAUCAGGUAACAUCAAAUCGUACCCCAAACCGACACAGGUGGUCAGGUAGAGAAUACCAAGGCGCUUGAGAGAACUCGGGUGAAGGAACUAGGCAAAAUGGUGCCGUAACUUCGGGAGAAGGCACGCUGACACGUAGGUGAAGUGAUUUACUCAUGGAGCUGAAGUCAGUCGAAGAUACCAGCUGGCUGCAACUGUUUAUUAAAAACACAGCACUGUGCAAACACGAAAGUGGACGUAUACGGUGUGACGCCUGCCCGGUGCCGGAAGGUUAAUUGAUGGGGUCAGCGCAAGCGAAGCUCCUGAUCGAAGCCCCGGUAAACGGCGGCCGUAACUAUAACGGUCCUAAGGUAGCGAAAUUCCUUGUCGGGUAAGUUCCGACCUGCACGAAUGGCGUAAUGAUGGCCAGGCUGUCUCCACCCGAGACUCAGUGAAAUUGAACUCGCUGUGAAGAUGCAGUGUACCCGCGGCAAGACGGAAAGACCCCGUGAACCUUUACUAUAGCUUGACACUGAACAUUGAGCCUUGAUGUGUAGGAUAGGUGGGAGGCUUUGAAGCGUGGACGCCAGUCUGCGUGGAGCCGACCUUGAAAUACCACCCUUUAAUGUUUGAUGUUCUAACGUGGACCCGUAAUCCGGGUUGCGGACAGUGUCUGGUGGGUAGUUUGACUGGGGCGGUCUCCUCCUAAAGAGUAACGGAGGAGCACGAAGGUUGGCUAAUCCUGGUCGGACAUCAGGAGGUUAGUGCAAUGGCAUAAGCCAGCUUGACUGCGAGCGUGACGGCGCGAGCAGGUGCGAAAGCAGGUCAUAGUGAUCCGGUGGUUCUGAAUGGAAGGGCCAUCGCUCAACGGAUAAAAGGUACUCCGGGGAUAACAGGCUGAUACCGCCCAAGAGUUCAUAUCGACGGCGGUGUUUGGCACCUCGAUGUCGGCUCAUCACAUCCUGGGGCUGAAGUAGGUCCCAAGGGUAUGGCUGUUCGCCAUUUAAAGUGGUACGCGAGCUGGGUUUAGAACGUCGUGAGACAGUUCGGUCC